AGAAAAGAGAGAAUCUCCGUCAAGAUCAGCUAAGAGACUCUCUUCAGAAUCCACUGAAUCCACACCACACGUCCUUAGGUCGAUUAGCAUUAGAAGACGAAAAAGAAAGCCCGAUCGGAGACGUUGACAUCGUCUGAUUAAUGGCAUAGACUCCUUGGUCACCCCAAUAGAGCUGCUAAGGAAGAGGGUCGAGCCAUAACGGAUCGAUUCCAGUCACCGCUACGAGACAUCAAUCCUAACGGAUUUGACCCUGAAAUUGGAUUAGACUAGACUUUUUCCAAUAGUUGGAUGAAUCUAGACUUUCUUCCAAUAGAAUCUUAGUGAAAGAACGGACUGACGCCUUUUCCAAUAGAAAGCUAAGAAAUUCCCUUUUUUUUU
rnacentral:misc_RNA from 1 species